GAGAAACGAAAAGUCACAAAGCACAAGGCACGGGAACAGGGAGAGGUGAAGAAUUGCGCCAGCGGGUCAAUCUACCACACUUUACUAUCCCACGGAAAGACGACACCGAAAAAACAACACCAUCAGGCGCUGAGUGGUGAAGGCGACUGCAGACCUUGCUGUAAAAUGGAACGGGGUCUCAGGGAAGCCAUUUACCUGUACGUGGCAAUAUGGCAAAACAACGGCCAGGGGGCACCUGGGAUUGAACCGGGGACAUCUGGACCUGCAGCCAAGGGCUCUAGCCUUGAGCCACGCCCCCUGGCCUGCUGGGGGCCCCUCCUGACAUUAUUUCACCUGUGUUGCCAUGCCCCAGAUUCCAUAGUGGACUCUAAGUUCUAGUCCUACUUGGGCCACCUCUGGAACUGGCAGAGCCACCACACACUGACUGGAGACCACUCACUGGCCAUGAGUUCGCCUCGUCAUUCCUCAGAGGCCCCUCACUUGUCUACCAGGCACUCUCCUGUGUAGCCAUAGCCUGAACUGGGCUGUUAGAGCUGGAAGCCGGGCGCCCUGAUCCUUGCUCCCCUCCUCCCUCAGCUCCACCUACACUGUCUCCUCCUCGCCAGCCUCCUCCCUCCUGGCUUUCCUCCUGGCUUCACAUCUCACACUGUCUCUCCCCCCUCUCCCUGGCUUAGUCCCUCCCCGAGGCCGUCACCUAGGGGCUUGGCUGAACACAGGGGAGACAGCGCCCCAGAGGCAGCAACCUCGGAAUCCUUGGGGCAGCACAACCGAGGGUGCUAGGACCAGGCAUAUAGGCUGGUUGGGGGCCCGCAGCCUGGGACCAAGGAGCCCUGGUGUGCGGUCAGAGAUGUCUCUCCCUCUGCCCCACAGUGCGAGAGCCCAGGCACUGCCUGUGCCCGCUUCCCUGGCCGACCUUCAUCCCAUAGUGAGGACACGCAGCGGGCCUUCCUAAAAGGCCACAAGCCCUAAGACGCUAAGGACUAGAGAAAGGACAGUGACCUGAGGGGUACGACAUGCUACAUGGCAUCGGAGUCUGUGAGAUUCACAUUCGGGAGACCACAGACGCCCCUGAGCUUGGCAGGGAGGAUGCCAGCAAAGGGGGGAUUCCUUCCUCACUCCUGUGCUGUGUUCUUAUCGCGUUGCUUUCUUACCAGCUAUCGUGUUUCCCUUUAAACACACAGUCUAAAUUCAAAAUAAGUAUUUAGUCCAAUGAGACCAAAUCGCCCGCCCCCCCCCCCCCCCCACCCCCCAGGUGAUGUUUCCAGCAUAAUCUACAUGCUACCAUGUUGCUGGCAGCCUGUGAAGUACCGUCUUUCUGUUACAGGAUGCAAUCGGAAAGUCGGGCAUUCUUCCCUGGCAGCAGGUCCAGCGCCAGCAGAAUCAGCCGCUCUGCAGUGCCUCGUGCUGUUCUGUGGGCACUGAGGACACCAAGGCCUGGCCCUCACUAGGCGCUUCAUUCCAGGUGAUCCGGGCAAAAUUGAAGUCUCCUGCUUUGUCACUGUGUGCCAACGACGGCCAGGUUCAAAUUCCCGAAUAACUACCAAGAUGGUCCUAACAAAACCAGACACUCAGUGCCAUAUGCCCCUCACGGCCUGCACCCCACCCCCAGUACCAGUUGACACACUGUCUGCAUUCUGUCAAAAACAGAAACCGAUGAUGGCUCCUUGAGACAAAUAAGGAAACUAUUGGCAGGAUGGGAAAAGUCUCACCACACCAAACGUAGCUAGAGAUCUGCGCUAGGAAAUGGGCAGGACUAAAGGGCAGCCGCGCAGGCAGAAUCGUUGACCUCAAAAGGCAUCCUGCUUUAUGGGGCUGAUGAUGCCCCACUGGACACUGCCUGCAGCCAGCGGCCCCACUGCCAAUGCCAGCCCCCUGGCUCCGCUGGAGGAAAUUCCCAACUCCUCCUGCUUCUGGGUAAAUCAUUCAUGUUCCAGGUCUCAAUCAGCUACAGGUGACUGGCUAAGCCUGAGCUACGGCCGGGGCUCAGGGACGGCAGCACCUGGUAUUCCCGGCUUUCAUAGUAUUGUGAGAUCCCGGCUUCCACCAGUCAUACACGGCUCUGGAUCCCCAAAGUACAAAGGAAUUUCAAGUGUUGGGGCUGUAAGAAGAUCGUUACAAACACCCACCACAGGUAGCCCAAGUGAGGCUGCAUCACUGCCACAAUCACGAAUGGUGGGAAGCGUUGGUGCUGCCAGAGCCCGGGAGGCUUUCUGGCACAGGCCCCACCUGCCUCUUCCUCUGCCCUCUUGCAGGAAGAUGCCGUUAGCUGCAACGGCGACACCGGCUCUGAGUAAAAUCACAGCCUGGUCCAUACACUGGAAUUUUAUCCAGCAACAAAAAUAAAUGAGCUCUCAAGCCACAAAAAGACACGCAGGAACCUUAAAUGCCUAUUACUAAGGGAAAGAAGCCAAGCUGAACAGGCUACACCGCAUGCGAUUCCACCGCUAUGGCAUUCUGGAAAAGGGAGAUCCGUGGACAGUAAGAAGAUCAGUGGGUGCCAG
ensembl:lncRNA